AACGCGAAGAACCUUACCUGGGUUUGACAUCUCUGGACCGACGUAGAGAUACGUUUUUGGUAGCAAUACCACCAGAUGACAGGUGCUGCAUGGCUGUCGUCAGCUCGUGUGGUGACAUGUUGGGUUAAGUCCCGCAACGAGCGCAACCCUUGUCUUUAGUUGCCAGCAUUCAGUUGGGCACUCUAAAGAGACUGCCGUGGUUAACACGGAGGAAGGUGGGGAUGACGUCAAGUCCUCAUGGCCUUUAUAUCCAGGGCGACACACGUGAUACAAUGGACGGUACAAAGGGAAGCGAAACCGCGAGGUGGAGCCAAUCUCAAAAAGCCGUUCUCAGUUCGGAUUGGAGUCUGCAACUCGACUCCAUGAAGUUGGAAUCGCUAGUAAUCGCGGAUCAGCACGCCGCGGUGAAUACGUUCCCGGGCCUUGUACACACCGACGCAC
rnacentral:rRNA from 1 species